rnacentral:sRNA from 1 species
GGCUGCAUUAUAUCAUCACUAUAUCAACUACAUGUCAUGUGGUCCAGAGUUGGAACCACAUUGUUACCACAUGAGGGCAAGAUUUGCACCCCAAAUAUUUACGUAGCUUAAUCGGAGAUAGGGUGCGGGAGAAAAAACUUGUACAAACGGCAGACAGAGUCAAACUUAGGAUGGCAGGGGAUAGCAGUGGUCAGGGUUCAAACUCUGGAUUAUCAUAAUGGCAGAUGGAAGUG